rnacentral:lncRNA from 1 species
UGUCUUUCUUGCUAGAAGAUAGAAGAAAGAGGAGAAGAGAGAUGACAGCCAGAGUUUUCUAAAAACUCCAGUAUAUUAUAUAGAGGAAUAUAAUCCUCUUUAAUAAUAUAAUAACCAUUAAGGAUAAGCACAAAUUUAGAUUUAAAUUUAUUCUUUCCUUGAUUGGUUAGAUCGAUCAAAUCCUAAUUUGAUUCGACUUGAACUUUAUAUUAAUUUGAUCAUAUCAAAUUAAUAAUGCAACAUUUGCACAUAAGUCCUCCUAUAAUUUACUAACUAUUAGUAAGUCUUCUCUUGUAACAUUUACACCUUAAUACCACUAAUUUGUAAUAAUUACAAAUUAGUCCAAUUAUCAACAUAUUGACAAUUAGGUUCUUCGGCGAUUCAAUAAUCAAAAUCUAGUUAUCUGAUCAAUCACAACCUCUUAUGUGUGUGACCCUAUAGGUUCUAUUCUAUCUGGUAGUAAGAUAUAUUUUGAUCACUAUCAACAAUAUCACUGAAACUCCUUUCAGUAGAUCGGAACAAUUCCAACUCAGCCCAAUAAGAAUUAUCGAUUAUUUAGAUAAUUCUCAUGAGUCUCACAAUCCACCAGUGAUGCCUAGCAGCAUUUGUGGCAUUCCAAUAGAAUGGAAUAUUGAACCUCUUGGUGCAGUUACCGUGUGAUACAAUCCUUCUAUCAUGAGUCCCGACUAGACGGAGGUUAUGGAAUAACUCGUCGAACCUCAUCGUCUGUCAUAUGUCAAAUUUAUUCGAUUCGAGUUUCUAAUAUCGGAAACGCUUUUCCGCUUUUAACUCUGCCCUGGUCAAUGUCUUCUAAAUUCGGUCUCAUAAAUCACAUAGGACUAACGUUUCAAUAUUUAAAAAUUAACUUUAUAUUUUAAAUCUGAAUUUAAUUUUAGCUAUUAUAAUUUCAAAUUAUCUUUAAAAUGGUUUUUAACUUGUUUAAAUACUACGUUAAAUUCAUUUGAUUUGGAUCAUUUGACUUGGAUCAUAAGUUCAAUUAAAAUGGUUUUUCCAUGGUCUAAAAAAUCACUUUGCGUCCAUGCAAAGUUUAGCCCAUUUUUCACUUUGUAACCACAUUAUUCUUUAAAAAUUUACUUUACCACCUAUUUUGACAUAGGAUUUUUUGAUAAAAUAACAAUUAACUGAUUAAAUUAAUCAGGUUUAUAUUACACUGGUUGAGCUAUCCAAUCAAAUAAUCAUAACUCGAACAGUUAAGUUCGGAUCGACUAUCCAUGUUCAAAAGUUAAAAUAUCAAUAUAUAACAUUCUUUCUAAUUGAAUUUUAGUUUUAACCAUCCAAUUUCAAUUUAUUAAGAGUUUUGUCUUGAAUUUUGACCACAUCAACUUUAACUCAUCAUUCAGCCAUCUAAAUUGAAGCGUGAAGCUCAAUGCAAUAAUCUAAAAAAUUUGAAUAAAGUUGGACAACCAAAGAAUAAUGUUUCUUAUAAUUUGAAAAAUAAGUUUGUAAUUUAUACUGAAACUUGUGAAGAUUGUAAAAGUUUAAUUUAUUUUAAUUAAGAUAUUGAACUGAAUUUGUUAGAACUAUUGAUCACAAAGUCAAAUUCAAAAUUUUUAAACAUCCACUUGGGGACAAUAUUUCAUAUUCAAUUACUAAGAGAUUGCAUAAUAAAACUUGUCAGUUGUAAUAUUUUAUAUUUGCAUAUAACUUUUGAUGCAAAAAAAUUUAAAAUUUGAGACAAAUUUAAAAUUUUAUUUCAUAAUCAAAUCAUACAAAUAAAUUCAAUUAAAAAUUGUAAAUAUAGAUUAGCUAUUACUUCAAAAAGGAAAGCAAAAUGUACAAAAAUGGAAUGGAAUGUUCUAUAUUUACUAAAGAGGCAUUAUGGGAAUGGAAAUAAAAAUUUUUCAAAAAGCCCUUGAUACUAAUUUACAUGAAAUAUUUUGCCCUCGGUAAGAGGAUAACCGGUACCUAAUACAACAAAAGCCGGUCACCCUCUUAAAUAAAAGGCAUCCUCACCAUCCAUUUUAGAAAAUUUUAGGGCUAAGAUCUGUUGGUGUAUAGGAGCAUUGCUUAUAUAUAUAUAUAUAUAUAUAUAUAUAUAUAGAGUGAGGCUACUAUACUUCUGAAAGUACGGAGCCUUUCGUGCUUUAAUGUUGUUUUUGAUAUUUCAACUUUCGAAUCGUCGAUCGGCUCCGUUAAACAUGAUCUAGAGUAUUUGAAGUAGUUAGAAAAUAAAUUUUAUGAUUUUUUGAUAUCAUUUGCCUAGUGAUCAAAAGGGCUCAAAAUCAAUAAUUUUAAUUGCCGUAGUGAGCCGUUUGCAUGUUUAACGGUGUAGAAAUAUCCAAAUCACGUGAAAUUUUGAUAGAAAAUUUUUUAUACUAUAUAAAACAAGAUCAAUAUCU